GCUCGGGACCUCUUUGACGAUCGGAGACUGUUCACCCCCGUCGAACGUUGUCAGUCAGGGGAUCUGGGACUGAGAAGGUGGAGGAAGCGGGUAGCGGAGCGGCGGCGGAGGAAGGAGAGGGGGGAGGAGCCCGAGCCCGCGGAGUCAGUCGGGGGAGAGAGGAAUUUGGGAGCCGCGCUCGGUUUGGUUUUAGGCUGCUGGGAGGGUGUAAGGAACGGGGAGAGCGUUCGGCGCGGUACAGGGUGUAGCGCUCCAGCGCGGAGCGGGAGUGCGAGUUCAGGAGGCGGCGGGGGAAGAGGUGGUAAAGCGGGCGGCGGCGGCGUAGGGAGCGAAGCUUCCUCCGCGGACGGCGGCGGCGGCGUAGAAGGCGAGGGUUCCUCCGCCGGCGUCGACCGCUAGGGAGGGGCCGCGGUGGAAGCCCCCGGGCGUCGAGGAAGGCAGACGAGUUCCGGCCAUAGAAGUGGCGGCAGUGGCGGCGAGAGCCGCGGUGUCCGAUACAGUGUAUGCGAAUAAGGCACCUACUUCACCUAGUCUACUGCGCCCUCAAGGCCUUCUUGAGCUUCGAGGGUUAGUCGCUCCUGAACAGGCCGAAACUCUUCAAAUUCCGAUACCGAAUAAGCCUUUGACACUUUCAAGGACGACGACGAUAACUGGAGAUGAACCUACAGUCCUCGGUUUAACUUCUAGUUUAAGUCCCUAAACAACUUGGUAGUAGUCUUUUUGAGGAAGGUCUAGAUGGAGGAGUUCUUGUCGUACAGAAAUGGUAUCAAGACCUAGACUUACUCUGAGAACAUAUGAGUCUAACCUUCGCACUCUCUCCUACCUCCUGAAAGUUCUCUGGUCCUCACCUACGGAAAAACCUUGUAGAACGCUUCAAGAUACUUCAACAACACAUAAGACUAGUUAAUUCAUACAUGCAACUAGGACAAUACCUUUCUGACCUACGUUUUCCGACACAGGCCGUGUCCGAUAGUUCUCAACGUUGAUUUAUACACUUACCUUUUGUGAUAGCCCUAAACAGUUUCGACUUAUCUCUGGGACGUGCUCAAUAAAUAUAGUCACCCGUACGAGAACUGAGUACGGACGUCGGACUUUUAACAAACGGCUAGUUUGGUACCUUCGAACUUCGACUCCUGUGAGUUGACUAACUAGAAUAAGGUAACGAACUUACGGCACUGUAACGACGACUUAAAGAACUCGCAAGUUCCGCGCACAUACUCGUUUUUCUUGUUUUUGUUGUUGUACCUGCGUAAACCGCCGCUACUACUCACUUAGACGACCAUCCUUUCGUCUAGUAAGGUGGUUGAAGUUGUGUGGAUCUUGAAAAAAAAUCUUGACAUUCUGAACAGAAACAUUAAAACAGUUGAAACUAAAGUCCUUAGCGGAUGAAAACCAUUAACGCAGUACAAAGUUAAUGAUAUCCACAGAACCUGACUACAGACUGGUUCGAUAUACUCGUAAAAUACUAGUACGCUCCGCGUACAGUUAAAUUUCAAGUGAAACAACUGUAAACUGUUAUACUAUUAAACAAUUUUGUUCGAAGACCAUAAUAUAAAGUAACUAACGACAAUGGGUC
rnacentral:rRNA from 1 species